CAUGACCUCACCACCUCCCAAUGCCCCCACCUCCUAAUACCUUAACGUCGGGAGGUUAGGAUUUCAACAUGUACAUUUCUGAUAGACAAACAUUCAGUACAUUGUAGCAAGGUUGUAGACUGGGUCAGAUACAGAAUUUUAAAUUUACCCUGAAUGAGAUAUAGGGGAAUCUGAAUGUAUCGAAAUUGGAAUAAACCAUAAAAGAAGCAGGCUCAGAAAAAAAAUUUGUUUCUAACAACAUGAGGUUUUAGGAGACUCAGAGGUUUCUCUCCUUCCUAGCCCAUAGGAAUUGCGUGACGUAACUUUCCACCCAGCACAAACCCUGCAUCUGUGAACCAUCGCCACCACCACAACUUCCUUGGGGGAGAUGGCUGCAGACCUAAAAGAAGGAAGCAAGGCACGCACUCAGGGCGGACUCCUGUCAUGGCGUUGUCUCUGCCCCUCAAAUUUUGAUAAUUCUGGUUACCUACCCUCAUCUUCAGAGUACCAUGAAGCUCUCACUGUCUGCCUCGGCUGUUUCCUUGAGGGAAUAAACCAAGGUAAUGCCCGAUUUCUUUUUCUCAAGUACUUUCUGUGUCCUUGUUCUCUGAUAUAUUCAAAGAGUUGUUUUUUAUAUUUUCUCAAGGUUUCAUAUAGUUAUCAGCAGGAGGGUCAACCUUAUAAGCUACCCAGUCAUGGCUGAAACAAUGUCAGCCAAGCAAUCUUUAAGGAGAAAACCAAAGCUAACAACCUUAACUCUGUAUUUCAAGACAUGAAGUUAUAGCAAUUCAUACAAUGUGACUUAAUGCAAGGAGAAAAAAUAAACAAGUGGAACAAAAGAGUCCA
rnacentral:lncRNA from 1 species